rnacentral:rRNA from 1 species
UGGCCUAGUGGUAGUCUUCACAUGGCCGCUGAACGGCGCCGUAGGGCUUGGCUUCGAUUGCGGGGGGAGCAGGGGUGGAGCAGACUAUUCUGACACCACCUAUAACUGGGGCAUAUCCCGGAGAUAGUUGGAAUUCAUGACCCCAUAAUAACAGAAAUUCGCAUGUUUUUCUGUUUAAAACUCCGGUGGUUAGAGAUGGGUAUGCGUCCUAUUAGUUAGUUGGUGAGGUAACGGCCCACCAAGACUUCGAUAGGUAGGGGUUCUGAGAGGAAGAUCCCCCACACUGGUACUGAGACACGGACCAGACUCCUACGGGAGGCAGCAGUGAGGAAUAUUGGACAAUGGACGAAAGUCUGAUCCAGCCAUGCCGCGUGCAGGAAGACUGCCCUAUGGGUUGUAAACUGCUUUUACAGCGGAAGAACCGCACCCACGUGUGGGUGUUUGACGGUACUCUGCGAAUAAGGAUCGGCUAACUCCGUGCCAGCAGCCGCGGUAAUACGGAGGAUCCAAGCGUUAUCCGGAAUCAUUGGGUUUAAAGGGUCCGUAGGCGGGACAAUAAGUCAAGUGGUGAAGUCUGCAGCUCACUGUAGAACUGCAUUGAAACUGUAGUCCUUCGAGUAUUAUGAAGUGGGUAGAAUGAGUAGUGUACCGGUGAAAUCAUAAUAUUCUCAAAAUCCCAUUGCAAGCAGGCCUAUAUGUCUGCCUGUGGACAAACCGGGUGCAAAGAUAAAUCCUGUUUCCCAACAUGUCUCUGCCGCCAUA